rnacentral:rRNA from 1 species
GAUGAACGCUGGCGGCGUGCCUAAUACAUGCAAGUCGAGCGAACAGAUGAGGAGCUUGCUCCGCUGACGCUAGCGGCGGACGGGUGAGUAACACGUGGAUAACCUACCUAUAAGACUGGGAUAACUUCGGGAAACCGGAGCUAAUACCGGAUAAUAUAUUGAACCGCAUGGUUCAAUAGUGAAAGACGGUUUUGCUGUCACUUAUAGAUGGAUCCGCGCCGCAUUAGCUAGUUGGUAAGGUAACGGCUUACCAAGGCAACGAUGCGUAGCCGACCUGAGAGGGUGAUCGGCCACACUGGAACUGAGACACGGUCCAGACUCCUACGGGAGGCAGCAGUAGGGAAUCUUCCGCAAUGGGCGAAAGCCUGACGGAGCAACGCCGCGUGAGUGAUGAAGGUCUUCGGAUCGUAAAACUCUGUUAUUAGGGAAGAACAAAUGUGUAAGUAACUAUGCACGUCUUGACGGUACCUAAUCAGAAAGCCACGGCUAACUACGUG